rnacentral:lncRNA from 1 species
GUGUUAUUUAUACUGUAAUUGCUUUGUAUCUUUGUAUUUGUGCGUAUAUGAGCUAUUAUAUUGUAUAUGUUCAGGAGUAGUUUGUGGUAUUGUGUAUGAUACAUAUGAAUGAGGGCUGUGUAUGGGGCUGCUUGUGGAAUUGUCUGUGUGGAUGGAUAUGUCACAUUGUGUGUUUGGUAGUGUGUGUAUGUAUGGGGCUGUUUGGGGUAUUGCAUGUGAGAG